rnacentral:rRNA from 1 species
AUUGAACGCUGGCGGCAGGCCUAACACAUGCAAGUCGAGCGGAUGACGGGAGCUUGCUCCUUGAUUCAGCGGCGGACGGGUGAGUAAUGCCUAGGAAUCUGCCUGGUAGUGGGGGACAACGUUUCGAAAGGAACGCUAAUACCGCAUACGUCCUACGGGAGAAAGCAGGGGACCUUCGGGCCUUGCGCUAUCAGAUGAGCCUAGGUCGGAUUAGCUAGUAGGUGAGGUAAUGGCUCACCUAGGCGACGAUCCGUAACUGGUCUGAGAGGAUGAUCAGUCAAACUGGAACUGGGACACGGUCCAGACUCCUACGGGAGGCAGCAGUGGGGAAUAUUGGACAAUGGGCGAAAGCCUGAUCCAGCCAUGCCGCGUGUGUGAAGAAGGUCUUCGGAUUGUAAAGCACUUUAAGUUGGGAGGAAGGGCAGUAAGUUAAUACCUUGCUGUCUUGACGUUACCGACAGAAUAAGCACCGGCUAACUCUGUGCCAGCCGCCGCAGUAAUAC